AUGAUGCGGGUGAACCUGUGGGCGCUGACGGAGGUGACGGCCGCGGUGCUGCCGGGGAUGGUGCAGCGGGGCAGGGGCGCCGUCGUCAACAUAGGCUCCGGGUCGUCGGAGGCCAUCCCUUCCUUCCCCCUCUACACCAUCUACGCCGCUUCCAAACGGUACUGCAUGCAUACGCUCUUGUCAAUUUCACUGCACAUACGUAUCUUGGAUUCUUGGGUAGGUCGCCCGCCGAAAGGCGCUUUGGUUGGUUUGCGCUUGCUGCUUUUUUAA
rnacentral:rRNA from 1 species